CCGUCCUGACGCCGCCCGUCCGCCUGCCGCCGCCGCCCUCUCGCCGCCUCGCCCGCCCGCCGACGCAGCGUCUGUCUGCAGCCCCUACCUCCCGCGGCUGCUGCCCUACUGCGCCGCAUACCCUAUCUCCCGCGGCCACCGCCCAGCACCCCCGCGCCGUCCGGCACCUCCAGCGUCGCCGCCCACCCCCUCCCGCGUCCGCUGCAGCUGCCGGGUCACACAGAGGGACCGCGAUCGCUGCAGCCACCGACGUCUCCUCCCGCCCCGCGCCUCCUCCCGCCCCGACAUCUCCUCCCGCCCCGCGCCGAGGGCUGCUGCCGCCGCCCAGUCCUACCUCCUCUUCCGAUUUUUCAUCGGCCGGCCGACUUUUUGCGUGGAAUCAGUAAAGUUUCCAUGUGCUCUCCCGCGGCGCCGUGCCGCUGCAUGCGCCGGCCCGCGUCACGCCGCCCCUGGUCUCCUCCACGCCCACCUUCCACCACCGGGCCCGAGCACCGAGCCGCUCACGGACAUCGUACUGGUAAGAGCCUGCUCCCUGUUUUUCGUCUCUGUCUAUGUUGGAUUGCAUGGAUGAUGAUUAAAACUAUAAAAUUUUGGUACACCUGAUGAUUAGAUAGACAUCAUAAUCGGAAUUGAUUUUAUUGACAACAUCUUCAAAUUGUGAGCGACAGCUUAUUGAUAUUUCUCUGUGGAUGAUUUAGGCUUUGCAUAAGUGGCAGCGCAUUUUUAUGCAGCUCAAUUCGUUCAAAUGUUGUGUUCAUAAGAUCAUCUGAAAACCAAUUACAAUAUUCUUGUUGAUGACUUGUUGAUGGAAUAACCCAAGGAUUAGUGGCAACGCAACAAAACAUUCCAACAUAUGCCUACUGCACUAAUUCCAUUCUGUUGGUAAGAAACAUACUUGCAGUUCUAGCGAGGAAUGCUAUGUUAUGUUUGCUACAACCUGAAAUAUAUUUAGAUGGGAACAUAAAGUAUUGUGUAUGGGAACUCCUAUGGUAAAUGAAGAUGCUUCAGUUUAAGAUUCCGUUGAUCUUCAAAUGAUACAAGUAGAAUCUUUUUGACUCUUGCUCCUAUUGAGAACAUACCUAAUAACUGAUGCUUUACCUUCUUAAUGGCCAAUAAUGGAUUGUUGCAAAAUUAAAAUCGGAUUGCAUUCUUAAUAGGAGCCAACUAUAUAGCAAAACUUCCUUAAUUGAUGGCAUUCAUUCCGAGUGAACCUUUGUGGUGGCAGAAUUCAGUUUCAGCCAAACAUAAGGCUCUCUGCUACCCCAUCUUGAUGAUCAUCCAGUAUAUAAACUGCCAUUUGUUACACAUAAUUGAUGGAGCCAAAUAAGGUUAUUGGUCUUUAUAAGUUGGAUUUUUCUUGGUACGAUAAACGUCUUGAACAGAUCACUAUCGAGGUAUGCUUGCCAGGUAAGCAAAUUAAGAGGUUGCAAAAGAAGGUAUAUAGUAUCCAUUUUAGUGAGAUUAAGUUUUCAGUCAUGACCUUCACUGAAGGUACUGGGAUUUUCAUUGAAACAACAGAAAUUUCACUUGUACUGAAUAAGGUUAUUGGUCUCUUUUUUUUUGACGAACCAAGGUUAUUGGUCUUUAUAAGUUGAGUUUUUCAGUUCCAACAUUUCUUGGGACGAUAAACGUCUUGAACAGAUCACUAUCGAGGUAUUUGUAUCCUACAUUCGGAGCUCAUUUGACAUAUAGGACAGAUCAACUUCAAUUCCUCUGUAGAGAUGCUGGUAGGUGCUCACACUUCUUUUACUGUUGCUCUUUGUAGUAUGGCAGUUAAUAAAAUUUAUAAACUUUAGAACAUUGCCAAGUUCGUAAUCUGAAUUGGAAUGGUCAACCUCAUUUUGCUCUAUUUUAAUUUAGUGUUACCAAAUUCUUUUUCAACACCUCAUCUGUGAAGAUUAUGGUUUAAUAACUGACCUAUUGUUUGCCAUCUUUGUAUUAGACCUAGAUCACUUCUAUAUCAACCUUAGUACUAAUUGGGAUUUCAUUAUUCCUUGAAACUAUGUGUAGUUCAUACGAGUCUUGUCUAUGCUUGCUUUGAAUUCUACUCCAUGCAUGGGAAUCAAGAUAAUUAAUUUGAUGAUUUCAGGGAGCACCAAAAAUAAUUGUUUCUCCAAAUCUAUAGAAGUUGUAGGUGCAGGGAUUACGUGGAUGUGUUUGGUGGGCACAGAUAGUCUGAUUUGAUACAGGACCAUGUAAGAUGUCAUUCUAUCAAGUGUGGUGUAUAUUUUAUCUACAUAUCUGCGUAGAUACAUGAGUGUCUAAUAGAGUGAUUGUCCAUUUAAUAAACCCAAUGUUGUUGUUACCUUAAUUUUUGCAUGGGACUAGGAAUUUCUUGGCGAUGUAUAUCUACCCUUGACUCAAUUGGCUUGUUCUCUGUUGUUCUGUUCUUCAGAUUCGAGCUAACUUUCAAUAUUUAGUGUGGUGCAUGCAAUUCCAUGAUAAGGAAAAGAGUAAGUUUAUUGCUGAAAAGAAAACGUUGGAAAUUACUACUACUAUACGAAGCUUUGAAUCCUGGGCACAUGGAAUUUUUAGAUGCUAUAAAAUCUAGCAACUUCAGCAAAAUCAGGCUUGAAUUAGUUCAUCUCAACAUCAAACAAACAGGUAUUGAUUUGUUUCGUGUUACUUCUGAAGCAACAAGAUUUUUUGAUGCUUUCUACAAACUGAUUCAUAUUUAACAGAACACUGAAUGGAAGAUUUAUUUAGUAGUGUUAUGUGCAUAUAAUUUCUUGGGGCUUCACAUAUGGAUUUGUUUGUUUGUUUUUCCUCCAACAAUUUUCAGUGUACUGCAGCUUUGCCACUGAAUCUAGACACGAUGUUUUGUCCUAUUUUGCCAGCACCAUCUUUGAAGCCACUAGCUCUGAAUCAAUGAUUUCAGAAAGAACUCAAAUCUAUCUAUGGAUUACUAUAUAUUCCAGUGGAAGUAAUAUCCUUUUUUGCCAACCAUUUAAACUUUUGGUAAUACUGCAUAUGUGUGCCUGAGAAUGUGAGCAGUCAUGUCUCUGCGCGGGUUGAGUUUUUCAUAUUUUUUUUUGUGUCAAAGGAGAUCAUUUUAUUUGUUUGUGGGGUUUCUUCGUACCAUGUGUCAUAUAUGAAAUCAUUUUUAUUUGUAAAGUGAAAUUGUUUUUAUC